GGGUCCUUAGCUCAGUUGGGAGAGCAUCGCCCUUACAAGGCGAGGGUCACUGGUUCAAGCCCAGUAGGACCCACCA
rnacentral:tRNA from 12 species